AACGAACGCUGGCGGCAUGCCUAACACAUGCAAGUCGAACGAGACCUUCGGGUCUAGUGGCGCGCGGGUGCGUAACGCGUGGGAAUCUACCCUCAGGUUCGGAAUAACUCAGAGAAAUUUGAGCUAAUACCGGAUGAUGACGUAAGUCCAAAGAUUUAUCGCCUGAGGAUGAGCCCGCGUAGGAUUAGGUAGUUGGUGAGGUAAAGGCUCACCAAGCCGACGAUCCUUAGCUGGUCUGAGAGGAUGAUCAGCCACACUGGGACUGAGACACGGCCCAGACUCCUACGGGAGGCAGCAGUGGGGAAUAUUGGACAAUGGGCGAAAGCCUGAUCCAGCAAUGCCGCGUGAGUGAUGAAGGCCUUAGGGUUGUAAAGCUCUUUUACCCGGGAUGAUAAUGACAGUACCGGGAGAAUAAGCGCCGGCUAACUCCGUG
rnacentral:rRNA from 1 species